CCUGGAUAAAAGUGCUAUAUACAAAAUGUUAACGAAUCAUCUAAUACGAUUUCAUGUUGCCAAACCUUAUUUCCCUGAUUGCCUUUUAACUAUCGGCCUGCCUGAUCUCAGUUACUGCUUAGCCCGUCCACCUCUGCUUUAGUUCAGAUUAGACUCAGACCCAAGAGUCAGGGCCACACACAUCUGCACACACCUGGAGGAGAGGAUCCCUGGGGGUGAAGUGAAGGAUUGUCUACUAACUGAUUAUAUCUCAAUUCAGCAGUGCGUGUUCUUAAUCAUGUACAUCCUGCUUGAGCCAAGGUGUUUUCUGCAGAAGCAUUACAAAGUAAAGAGUCUGAGUGAAUUGUGAGUUUAUCUCCUCUAUUUCUCAAAAUAUUUAUCUGUCAACAGAUUGUGGCAAAAUCUAAGUUUGUUUUCUCAGAAGCAUAUUAUUCUAUAUCUUACGAUAACAGUGCGUG